GACGAACGCUAGCGGCAGGCCUAACACAUGCAAGUCGAGGGAGAAGUUAUUCUUCGGAAUAGUGGAAACCGGCGCACGGGUGCGUAACACGUAUACAACCUACCUUUGAGUGGGGGAUAGCCCAGAGAAAUUUGGAUUAAUACCCCAUGGUGCUGCGGAAUCGCAUGAUUUUGCAGCUAAAGCUCCGGCGCUCAAAGAUGGGUAUGCGUCUGAUUAGUUAGUUGGUGAGGUAACGGCUCACCAAGACGAUGAUCAGUAGCUGGUCUGAGAGGAUGAUCAGCCACACGGGAACUGAGACACGGUCCCGACUCCUACGGGAGGCAGCAGUGAGGAAUAUUGGACAAUGGACGCAAGUCUGAUCCAGCCAUGCCGCGUGAAGGAAGACGGCCCUUGGGUUGUAAACUUCUUUUGUAUGGGACUAAUAAGGUGCUACACGCACCGAUGCAGGUACCAUAAGAAUAAGCACCGGCUAACUACG
rnacentral:rRNA from 1 species